rnacentral:misc_RNA from 1 species
CCAGACCCUGGUUCUGGCAGAGAUUGUAUAAGGCAUUCUUAAAACACGACAGAGAGGCGGAUCAACAGGUGAAAGAGGGGGUCAACUUACCAGAUAUCAUACUCGACACUUCCUGUAGAAAGAUCAAACACCACUGGUCCGUGACCUAACGUUCGGACACCACUUAACCGUGACAAAAUAUGAACAUUAAUUUGAAGAUCUGCAGUUGAAAACCAAACCCGUUCUUAAUUAAUGAAUUUUAUAUAUACCGGUACUUUGUAAAAAAAAAAAAAAAGAAAAAAGAAAGUUAAAUGACCGUUUACACUUUGGACGUCAUUGUUUUACACGUUUUUGUGUUAUUUGAUGAUUGUAUUAUAACUACCUCAUAUAGAGCUCGAGAAAGUGCAUAAGUAUAAGCUUUAUAUAUUUUUGUUAAUUAAAAUAUGUAACCCUUU